rnacentral:rRNA from 1 species
GACGAACGCUGGCGGCGUGCUUAACACAUGCAAGUCGAACGGAAAGGCCCUGCUUUUGUGGGGUGCUCGAGUGGCGAACGGGUGAGUAACACGUGAGUAACCUGCCCUUGACUUUGGGAUAACUUCAGGAAACUGGGGCUAAUACCGGAUAGGAGCUCCGGCUGCAUGGUGGGGGUUGGAAAGUUUCGGCGGUUGGGGAUGGACUCGCGGCUUAUCAGCUUGUUGGUGGGGUAGUGGCUUACCAAGGCUUUGACGGGUAGCCGGCCUGAGAGGGUGACCGGCCACAUUGGGACUGAGAUACGGCCCAGACUCCUACGGGAGGCAGCAGUGGGGAAUAUUGCACAAUGGGCGGAAGCCUGAUGCAGCAACGCCGCGUGCGGGAUGAAGGCCUUCGGGUUGUAAACCGCUUUCGCCUGUGACGAAGCGUGAGUGACGGUAAUGGGUAAAGAAGCACCGGCUAACUACGUG